UCAGGACUAGUGAUAAUCAUGUAAAGAAGAAUUAAACCAUUCUCUCAGUUUUCUCCAAUUCCUUCUUCACAAAAAUCACCUUAGCGUAAGAUUGCCAUUGUACUUGAACUCAUACUCUACUUAUAACCAGUAGAACAUCCAACGAAGUGAAAAAUUGUCAUUAUGGACUCUUUUCUCCAUUGUUGUCUCAGAUGAGGUCUUCCAAAAGGAUAGUGAUCUAUGUUCUAUACCAGCAAACGACUAAACUUUUUAGAAAAGAUUUGGCUAUCAUGACAAACUGCAAAGAGAUCUUCUGCAGUUGCACCUCCGAAAAAUCCAUGGGCACAUUGAGAGAAGGAAAGCAGGGGAAGGGCGAAAAGGGAAACCAAAUGAAUAGCGUAGAAUUAGAAUCAAGUACAAGUUUUUGUUGACAGAACGAAAAGACCCCCUUAUUAGUGUGUCGGCAUUGUGAUGUUAGGAGUAAAUUGGAUGAAUAAAAGAUGGAUACAAUGUAAACAACUAUAUUUGUCUAGUAUAUAUGCGAAUAUCACCUGAUUUAUACAUACAUAUAUAGAAAAAUAAUACUCCCUCCAUCCCAAUUUAUAUGAUGGUGUUUAACAUGAAGUUUAAGAAUGAAUGAAAGAUUUUUGAAACUUGUGGUCUAAAAUAAGCCAUAGAAAUUUGUGUCCCUAUAAAUUAUCUCAUCAAGGGAAAUAAGGAAGUUUAAAGUUGAACUUUUACUAAAUAUAGAAAGGUGUCAUUCUUUUGGUGACUGACUAAAAAGGAAUGAGUGUCACAUAAAUUGGGACGGAGGGAGUAUAAAUUAAGGGUAAAAUACAUAGUUUACCCCCUGAGUGUGAGGCCAAAUCCAUUUGACAGUCCUUUCCAACACGGGCAAUCCUUUACACAUCCAACCUUAUCAAAGUGUGUCUAAGGCACAUCACUUUGGUGUUUGACCACUUUUUCUCAACAAGUGUAUGUCACGGGCAAAUCCAUUUGGUGUUUGCCAUUAAUUUUUAAAGAAAAAAGAAAAAACACUUAUAAAUACUCCAUCUUCCCAAACCAGUCCCGGAAAUUUCCUUUAAAUCCCAACAAGCCCUCCAUUUUCAACCACCAAAAAUCACCACUGAAGCCACCACCUCUUAAUCUCAUGAUAAAUAUUCUUCCAUAACUCAGUCAAUGGAAUUCAACAGCGAGAAAAUCACAAACAACUCACCAAUGAGCAUUGAUAUUAAUGCAAUCCCACCGUGGAGAAAUCAGAAACAUUUCACAGAUAAUCACUAUAUUCUAAUUGUUAAAAGAGAAAUUAAAGGGAAUUAUGGACCUUAAAUUGAAACUAGUUUCAGGGAAUCAGUAUUGAAUAAAAAGAAGCCUCCAAUCGGGAUAUCAAAGCUACAAGCAGUAUUUGUCAGGAAUAGCGAAGCAGCGACACGAAUCGAGACUGGAACAACUCGAACGGCACCAUAAAGUAUGCCCCUCUGACCUCUUCGAACUCAAUCAAGAAUAACGGAAAGGAGUCCGAACCUUUACUGGGUUUAUGGUAUUCUUGAAAGAUUUUUGAGUUUAUGAGUGGAUGUUGAAAGAUGGUGAAAGACGAUAGUAGUGAAGGAGGAACUUGUGGGCCGUGUGAAGGUAUCUCGGUUGAAGCUACCCGUUGUUGUGAAGGAUUGAAGGUGGUUUUUUAAUGGAGAAAAGGAAAUUGUUGAUGGAAAAAGAUAGUAGAAACUGGUGGUACUAGAGUUUUCAUGAUUUAAGAAAGUGAAGAAGUUGAGCUGUGGUAGCUGGCCGAAGGUGGGUUGUGAUUAUGCGAUGGUGGGGCACGAGUCCAGGCAAAGGACGGUGGGGGCGAGGACGAAGGGAGAUCUGGUGCAAUUUCUUUUUUUUCUUCUUUUGUAUUAAAAAAAGAAAAAUAAGGAAAUAAAAUAAAAUUUUGACACUAGACACUUAAAUAAGGAUUUAAACAAAAUAUUUACAUGUUUCAUGCGCUCAAUCUUUUUUGGUUAAACACGCGCGUGCCAUCUGACAAAACUAAAAAGUGGUGCGUCUUAGACACACUUUAGAAAGAUUGGGUGAGUAAAGAACUGCCCGUCUUUUAGAAGUGUGUCAAAGGGAUUUGGCGUCAAACUCAGGAAGUAAACUAUGUAUUUGUACAUGUAGUAGGUUAGCGAAACCAAAUAUAUAUAUUAAAAUUACUAGCCUCUAUGUUCGUGCUUUGCACAAAUGUCUUGCGACAAAUACUAUGAAAAAAAAGAAAGUAAAAGACCGGCAUGAUAAAUAAUAAAAUUGCACGAACAAAAGGUGGAACUAGAACAUUCCAAAUAUAAAUCUCGAUGGGACAUGUGAAAGUACUUCUUAGUCAGAUUUCUUCUGAAAUUUAUUUUGAACAAUUAAUCUUGAAGCACAUAAAGCAAAUAAGCAACAACAACAACCAAAAAUAGGAAGAGAGGAGAAAUAGAGGCAAUAAUAUUUAUUUUGUUUUCAAAUAAUGUUUAAUUAUAACACAUAAAACAGAUAUGGAACAACAAAGCUAAAAGUUUCGAACUCUGCGUUGCCAGUAAAAUCAUCGACAAAC
rnacentral:lncRNA from 1 species